AUUGAACGCUGGCGGCAUGCUUUACACAUGCAAGUCGAACGGUAACAGGCCGCAAGGUGCUGACGAGUGGCGAACGGGUGAGUAAUGCAUCGGAACGUGCCCAGUCGUGGGGGAUAACGCAGCGAAAGCUGUGCUAAUACCGCAUACGAUCUAUGGAUGAAAGCGGGGGACCGUAAGGCCUCGCGCGAUUGGAGCGGCCGAUGUCAGAUUAGGUAGUUGGUGGGGUAAAGGCCUCCCAAGCCGACGAUCUGUAGCUGGUCUGAGAGGACGACCAGCCACACUGGGACUGAGACACGGCCGAGACUCCUACGGGAGGCAGCAGUGGGGAAUUUUGGACAAUGGGCGCAAGCCUGAUCCAGCAAUGCCGCGUGCAGGAAGAAGGCCUUCGGGUUGUAAACUGCUUUUGUACGGAACGAAACGGUCUGGGUUAAUACCCUGGGCUAAUGACGGUACCGUAAGAAUAAGCACCGGCUAACUACGUGCCAGCCGCCGCCGUAACAC
rnacentral:rRNA from 1 species